rfam:Haemonchus contortus, ISE/inbred ISE, WGS project CAVP01000000 data, contig: Hcontortus_11130
GUCUCGGUAGUGUAAGGGGUAGAGCACGGUGCCCGGAAAGCACAAAUUCGGGUUCGAGUCCCGUCUGAGACU